rnacentral:lncRNA from 1 species
CCCAUAAAAUAUAACGGGAUAUUUAUGAAUUACAUAAAAUCAGUGGUCAAAUUUUUUUUUUUUUUUGUUCUAGUCAGGGGUAAUCAAAUAUUUCCAUUAACAAAUUAAACUUUGGUUGUCGCAAAGACAAAUUUGGCCUUUUUUUUUCACCCUCUUAGUAGUGGGUCCCGUCAUUUUAACUAAAGUGCUAUAUUCCUAAUUACAUCCUAACUCAUACACACACACACACAUACAUAUACAUAUACAUAUACAUAUAUACAUACAUAGAUUCCAAUGAAGGAUUUUUUAGAGUGCGUUUGAGAUUGAUGUAUUGUAUCUUUUAAGCUACAGUUGUUGUAGAAAAAAACUGUAACUAUGAAACAAAAGUUAGUGAUAUAUAGUAAAUAUAAAUUUUAAAUAAUAAUUUUGAUGAAAUUAUUAAAGAUAUGGAUAUUAUCAUUUUCCCACCAAAAGUAUUCUGACACAUCAUGUCAGUACCACGGUUUGGUAAAACCAUCAGUUUACUACCAAACAUUUAAACUGUUUGUAUUUUCCCACCAUUCCAUUAAAACUCAGUUAAUGAGUAACGGAAAAUUCAUAAAAUAUCAAUUUUACCCCUGGAGCGUAAAAGACGAUUUUACCCUUUAAGAAGGAAGAACAACAAAUGAUGAUUUAAUUACAAAAUUCAUAAAAAGUUAAUUACAUGGUCUUUUAUGCUCCAUGGGUAAAAUUGACAUUUUAAAAGACCAAGUAAUUAACCUUUUAACCUUUUAUGAAUUUAUAAUUAAAUCAUCAUUUGUUGUUCUUCAUUCUUAAAGGGCAAAAAUUACCCUUUAUGAAUUUUGUAAAAUUGACCUUUUAAAAGACCAUGUAAUUAACCUUUUAACCUUUUAUGAAUUUUGUAAUUAAAUCAUCAUUUGUUGUUCUUCCUUCUUAAAGGGUAAAAUCGUCUUUUAUGCUCCAAGGGUAAAAUUGAGCUUUUAUGAAUUUUUCAUUACAUAUUAAUUGAGUUUUAAGUGAAUGGUGGGAAAAUACUAACAGUUUAAAUGUUUUGUGGUAAAUUAAUGGUUUACUUUUACUAAACCGUGGUACUGACAUGAUGUGUCAGAAUACAUUUAGUAGGAAAAUGAUAAUAUCCAUUAAAGAUAUAAUAUAUUUUUCAUUAUACAAGUGAAAAAUCAUAUCAACAUAGCUUACAAGGUACAUCAGCUAAUGUUUACCAAAUACUUUAGUGCUAUACCUUUUAAGUUAUAGCUGCUCAACCUUAAUUUUAAACACACUCUUAGUUUAUUAAACUAAGUGAUAAGUGAAAAAAAAUGCAUAUUUUAAUAUACUACAUGAGAAAAUACACUGUAUUAUAAUAUGUGUUUUUUUUUUAGCUUGUCACCACAUAUAUAUAAAGUAUAAAUUUAUUUUUAGCCCUUUACCUCUCUUCUUAUUUAAACGAGAGGUCAAUCAAAUAAAAUUACUUGAAAACCACUCGGUCAUUCCCUUAAAGGCCAAAUGCUUUCAAACUAAAAAAGAUGAUAAUUAAAAUAAAUACACACUAGUGAUUAGUGAGACUCAAACUUAAAGACUUAUUUUCUUUAGAGGCUAUUCAUAUUAAAGUUAGAAACAUGCCAAAAGACAAAAAAUACAGGCUCCAAUAUAAUUUAUUUUGUCUUUAAUUGUAUUCAAUUUUUAUUCUUUUAUCUUUAACUUAUCCAUGAUUUUAAUAU